rnacentral:lncRNA from 1 species
CGAACAUAUUCAGAUUUUUUUGAGAAGACAGAUGUAAACGAUUUACAUACGUAAUUGCCUUACACAUUCGCAAUUUAUAAUAUUUCAUUUCGCCUAUUUUCCUUCCCCUAUAGGUGCACUUGUGGGUAACGCCGCGCAACUGCUGCAGAAGAAUUGCACCCGUACUUUGCUGAUUUAGUUCCGUUGGAAGAACAUAGCUGACCCCGUUCUAGAUGGUCUUGUUGCUCAAUCAAUAGAAAUACAAGCUUGUCCAGUUGAAGAUGAUGUCAUACGGAAUGAUGACAACAACCAUUGACCAAAUAAAUCGUAGAGAGGCAACAAAGGUGGACCUCGUCAUCGAGGUUUGCAUCACGUUGAAGGCAGAGAAGAAUAUUAUAGGGAUCCGAUCAUUGAAAGACCUAUGUCUUUAGAUGAGAUAAGAGCUAUCUUGAACGAACAACGGGAGGCAAUUGAGAGCAAGAUGGGCAAUUUGAUGGAAGAGAUGAACGCUAGAUUCGCUAGUCUCCAAAAUGAUCUGGGAGACCAUGUGUGUGGUUUGAGAAAUCAUGUCACUGAUAAGAUCAAUGUGCUUCGACGAAGGUUUGAUGAAGUUGCUACAGAAAUUGGGCAACACAAUCUUGCUGAUGAGUAUGGUGGAUUUGGUCAUGACGAUUGUGGUGGAGACGAGCCCCGACGUGACAGACAGGAUGUUGGAGAGGCAACCGAAUCAGUUGUUUGCAAUAUCCCUAAUGUGUCCAUAACUUCGGGAGGUGGGGUUGGCGUAUUUGGGUCAGUAUACGUUGCUUGUGAUAUUGUGAAAGAGGCACCAGCCAUUGUACCUACAGUUGGUGUGACUGUUGAUGAUCAGCCGGUUCAUGAUACUGUCGUUAUUGGACCUUUAAUGGUUGUUGAUCCACCUAUACGUAGACCUCGAUUGCUGAGGUUGAAGAAGGCUAGUGCGAACACAAAGACGCCAUACACCCGAUCUGGUCGCAAGAGGGGUAAGAGGGAUGCGUAGUCUGUGUAUUUUGGUUGACGGCACAUAAUGGUGAUUAGAUAUGAACUUCAAGUUGAUUCAAAUUUAGAGGUUCGCAUAUUUUGGUUUAUAUGGUGGUUUUGCAAUAUAUAUUUUGGUUUAUGUCAUGGUACGUAAUAUGUAUUUUGGUUUACACAGUGGUUUGCAUAUUUUUGUUUAUAUGGUGGUAUGUAAUAUUUUGUGGAUGCAAACUUAUGGUUUAUAUGUUAGUGGCAUGUUCGAAAGGUUGUAUGUUGAAAAUAUUUUAUAACUUUAUUAUCUCCUAUAGUGGACCAGUAUUAUGCAUUAAUAAAUAUUCAGACUAAUCGGCGUUGUUCAGAACAUCCAAUUUUUCAGUCAAAAAACAUUGUAGACUGCAUUUGGUUAUAAUGACUUCGAUUGCUAUUUUAUGUCUUCGCAUCUUCGUUCUUAUUGUGUUGCCUUAUCUACUGUGAUGUAGUAACCGUUUUCCACAUGGUUGUUAUUCUUGAUGGAGAUUCAUGUGUUGGUACAGAGAGUAAAUGUUUUACUGGCAUGCAUUGUUACGAUUAGCUGAUAGUUGAUUACAUUUUAGAAACAGUUGCCAUGUACUGUGCUCAUUGCUGUAUUUUGUUCUUCUCAUAGUCGAACUGUCAUUCUACACAAAUGAAAUAUCAAGUGUCGAGAAAUGCGGGCAUUGCAUAUCCUGAACUACACGUCAAAUGUCAAUGUUCUAAUGAAAUGUGGAAAAAUAAUAUACUUUAGUUGAAAUGUCGUUUUAUACAAAUGUAAUGUCAAGUGUCCAGAUUGGCAAGCAUUUAAUGUCAAGAACUACACAUCAAAUGUCAAGAAAUAAAUGAAAUGUCAAUAAAUAUAUUGUUUCAAUAUAAAUGUUAACGUCACACAUAUUUUUGUAAAGCAUAAAAAUUUGGUACUCGUUCACUCAAUUUACUUCAAUAAUAUGUGAACAUAUGUGUGAUUGUGUAUGAUUAUGUAUGUGAAAAUAAAUUAAAGAAUUAAAAAAUAUAUAAAUUAUGUAUUUUGAAGCUCUUACCUAUGACAACAAAAGAAAAAUUCAGUCUUUCGUUAUCCUACUCAAACAUAAAAAAAAGGAGAUGAAAGGAAAAAUUGAUUAACUCGGUUAGCUUUAAUAAAUUAGAGAAAUUUAUCAAACCUUUUUUUUUUUUGUCAAUAUAAAUUUUCUAUAUAAAAACUUCAGUAGAAAUUAUAAACAUUGAUAAAGUUUGAACUAAAAUUUUUUUAUUUAUAUUACAAAACGAAAAGAUUUUUUAAUCGAACAAAAAGUUGUUUACAAUAUGAAGGAAAAAUGGGUGAUAUAAUAAUUUUCAAAAAUAAUUUCAUAAGUUAAACAAAAAAAAUUACGAAUAUUAAAUAUUAAAUAAAGAACAUAUACAUAAUAUUUAAUUAAAAUUGAAAAAAUAAAUUUUAGCAUUAAGAGAAAAUAAAUACAAAAAUUAUAAAUCGGAAAAAAAAUAUUUUNNNNNNNNNNNNNNNNNNNNNNNNNNNNNNNNNNNNNNNNNNNNNNNNNNNNNNNNNNNNNNNNNAUUACAAAACGAAAAGAUUUUUUAAUCGAACAAAAAGUUGUUUACAAUAUGAAGGAAAAAUGGGUGAUAUAAUAAUUUUCAAAAAUAAUUUCAUAAAUUAAACAAAAAAAGUUACGAAUAUUAAUAUUAAAUAAAGAACAUAUACAUAAUAUUUAAUUAAAAUUGAAAAAAAUACAUUUUAGCAUAAAGAGAAAAUAAAUACAAAAAUUAGAAAUCGGAAAAAAAUAUUAUAUAUAUAAAAUAAAUAAAUAAAUAAAAAAUGAACAAAGUGAUAGAGAGAUACCUCUCCAUAACAUGGAGAAGAUCCUCUCCGAGACUCUCUCUCCAUAUUGGAGACUGUUAUGGAGAAGAUUUUCUCUCCUCCAUUUAUUUUAAUUUUUUUUGAAUCAUAAUUAAUUUUAGUUCUUUUAUCUUUACGAUAAAAUUUAGGUAUUUUAAUUUUAAUUAAAUAAUAUUUAUAUAUUCUUUAUUUAAUUUUGUAACUUUCUUCUGUUUAAUUGAUUUUUUUAAUAUAUAUAUAUUUUUUUAUGUCAAGAAAUGUUUGAAAUGUAUAGAACUCUAGGAUACGGAAUGUAAUGUCGAGAAUUAAUAUAUACACGUCAACUGUCGAAUUAUUUGGUUUACACGAUGAAAUGUCAAGAUAUAUAUGGGGACACACCAUAAAUACGGUCAGAGUUGGUUUGAGUUCUUAUAAUGCGAUUACACCUUUAAUAUGCUUUACAACUCUCUCUCUCUCUCUCUCUCUCUCUCUCUCUAUAUAUAUAUAUAUAUAUAUAUAUAAGAGAAUUUUGAUUAAUUCCGUUAGCUUUAAUCAAUUAGAGAAAUUUAUAAUUUGUCAAAAAGUUCCAAUUAUUGCAACACAAAAAGUCACAAUAUUGAUGCGUAAAGAAACCAUUGAUAUAUAUCCAUAAUGUGUGAAAAAGAUUUAAUUAUCACAACACAACAAGCGAAUAUAUUCACUAUAUAUAGAAUCUAUCAACAACAUUCAAUUAUCAUAACACAACAAAUUUUUCUGACAUUUACUCAUUUUCACACAAUUAGCUAGGACUUGUCACAUGCACACUUUUAGUUACUUCUUCUCACAUUCACUUAUUAUCCUCACAUUCACUCUCUCAUCCACACAUUUAGCUAGAGUUAAUUGUCACGUUCACUCACUCUCGUUCGCUCACUCUCCACACGUUUUAAUUAAAGUCUCAUUCUCACAUUCACUCAAAAAGACAUUUAGCCGGAAAGAUUUUCCCACAUUCACUCAAAAAAGACGCUCAUUUAAUCGAAAAAGGUAAGUAAUUCAAAAUUUGUGCUACUUAACAGUUAAUUGAAUAUCAUCGAAAAAAUGUAUUUUUCUGACACGAAAAUACAAUUUAGUCGAAAAAACCAUCUCCAUUAAUCACGAGAUAGUAGUUUCCGUGCCUCCGUGUCACGAAGUGUUACCAAAUUUUUUUUUUUUUUUAAUUUUUAAAACCCACCCCUACUAUUAUUAUGUUUUACUAUAUGUGUAAACAAAAAAUAUAGAUUUGUUUGAAAUAUUAAUUUUUGAACAUUUUUACACUUAAUUUUAAUUUUUUUUAGUAUAUAAGAUGUGUAAAAAAAUUUAUAUUUGCUUGAAAAUAUUAAUUCUUAAAUAAUUUUUACCUUAAAAGUACUUUGUUUUAGUAUAGUAGAUGUGUAAAAUCAAAUGAAAAUACUAAUUUUAGAAUAAUUUGACACUUACUUAUAAUAUGUUUAGUAUAUAAACUUUCCUCAAAAAAUAAUUAUAUUUGUUUAAAAAUAUUAAUUCUUGUAUAAUUUAUACAUAUGUCUUUAGAAUACGUUCUCUCUCUAGAACAAUAGUUUUCUGCUACCAUCAUUUAGUAUCCAAAUCGUGAAUACGUUAAAGAUUUUUUAGAAUUCAUAGAUGCAAAUCAACAACGCUCUUUGAUGUGUAGUAAUUUUUAUGGAUUUGUUUAUGGAGUUGUUUUCAAAGGAGAAGAAGAACAAUUUACUAGUAAGUUGGUAUACGAAUUUAUAAUAAGACUUGUACAUUGUGGCAAAAAUAAUGAACUUUGGGUACGGUUAGAUGACCAUCUUGCUAGGUUUGGCAUGCAAGAAUUUUGUCUCAUUACUGGACUAUCUUGCCAUGAAUCAUCCAUAGAAAUUGAUUAUAUUAAUGAUCGUCUUAGAUAUCAAUGCUUCAAUGGCGCAAAAAGAAUUAGCAAUAGAAUGCUUUUUGAAACUUUCCACAUGUAUCAAGAUGAAGAAAAUAAAUUGAAGCUGAGAUUAGUUAUGUUGGUUGAGUGUGUGUUGAAACCGACUUCAAAACAAAUUGAUUAUAGAACUCUGGAUAUGGUUGAACAUCUUGCUGAGUUCCUUACGUAUCCAUAGAGUAGUAUAGCAUAUUUCGUUUUGUUAAAUUCAUUGAAGGAGUCACAAUUGGAAAGAAUACUAAGGAUACAACAGAACCAACAAAUAGAAUGUAAGUAUGCACUACAAGGCUAUCCGCUCGUAUUUCAGGUAUUCUGUUCCUAUUCUAAUUAUUGACGUAUUAUGUAUAAUUUAUUUGUACAAAGAAUGAAUUAUAUACAUCACAUUUAUCUUUAAUUAUGUUGCUGUAUUGGACAUAUGAAGCGUUUCCACAGAUUGGACAAAAGUUUGGUCGUCGUUGAUACAAAACGGUGCAGAUGCCACGAAUGUAUAAUUGGAGGCCUAAUACAAUACUGAAGGAAUCGAAUGUUAAGGAAGUUUUGGCUACUGAAGAGGUAUGAAUUUUUUCUUUUCAAUGUAGAAUAACAUUGGGAUUUAAUUAUUAACAAGUUCAAUUCAACAAAUGGAUAGUUUGUUAUGAUUACAGAUCGAAGUCAUUGCAGUGCUACAGCCUACGGAAGAAGAAUUACAAACACCGUAGUACACAAGUCUUUCACUGGCAGCUGACAAUAAACAUAGUAUAUUAGAUUUCAUUGUCAAUGGAGAAUUAGUUAAUGUAGUACAACUAAUACCAGAUAACAUCCGUGUGCAAGAAACGACCAGUCGUGGUACAUCAAGAACUUCAACUGGAGUUGGGCCUAGUUCUACUUCUGGUGCCUCCAGAUAUGUAACUGAAGACCGAAUGGAAGAAAUAUUGGGUAUGUACAGGCAGCAUACGAUAUCAGAUGCGUCUGGUUUAUGUGGUGACUUGAAGGUAGAAUUUGUUGAAGAAUCAAGAGCUCUAAACCAUGCGAUCCCUGAAAGCCAAAAGCAGUUGUUCAAACAACAUAACAAAUCGUUGCAAGAUUACAUGCAAUGUGGUAUGCAGUCAUACAUGAAUAAUUCUCUAUCAAAAUUUUUUAACACUCAUAUUGCCCAGGAAUCGCAACAACAAGAAGCCCAUUAUCAAGCGAUUCUCCAAAAGCAAGAAGAAUUAUUCCAACAGCAACAAGAGCACAUGUAGUUUUAUGUUGAUACAAGUUUAUAUUCCAUGAGAUCUUACAGUGAUGAAAAGAAUGAGAAUAUGCUAUACAAAUUAUUUAACUAGAAAUCCAACAUGGAAGCCAUUAGAGGUUCCAUGCAGCAGGAUGUUCCUCCCCCUGCAAGUACAAAUCGUACCGAUCAACCACAUGAGACAUCAACGUCUCAACCAAUAGAAAGUGUUGAAAUGUAGAGAAGAAAAAAGGAAAAGAAGAUGAAAUACGCACAAUCUUCGUCAUCCACAGAUCGUCCCUUAUAAGACUACGACAUGAAAAGUACAAAAAAUUAGAAAUUGGAUAUCGAGAAAUCAAUCCGGGUAACAAAUUUAACUCAUUCUUAAUAGUCCGAAUGCUAAACAUUAUUAUAUCAAUGUAAAAAAUUCUCUAUUGAUUUAUUCGACAGUAAUUUAAAUUAUAUUAUAUAGUGCAUAUUUGGACGAUACCCGUGCCAAUGUCUAUGGAAGAGACAUGUUGAGAACUUUAAUGGAUCCGACGAAGGAUCUGUGUAUUGUGGUGAGUAAAGGUUAGCAAUCACAAUCAAUUUGAUUUCAUAGUUAAUAUGUCUAAUAUAUGUUACAUGUAUUUAUUACAUUAGCAUAUUGAGUUGGAGCUGAAGUUAUUGAGGCAGCUAUGAAUGAAGGUUGUACUCUCAUCAAUAAACAAUAUGCAAUUUUGGGCUUUCAAUUUUAAGAUGAGUGUUCUCAUCAAAUGAGGUGGCAAUUGGACUUUCGAAUGGGAAAUCAGAGAGGUCAACCAGAUGGAAUUCACCUACAAGACUACGUCAAUGGUAAAUUGCAUGUAGCUGGUCGUUCGUGGAUGUGAUGCAAGUAUCUAUUAAUUCCAAACUCAUACCCAGGCAAUGAAUGUUAUCUUUUUCUGGUCAAUAUUCCUGAAUGAAAAUUCCACAUAUACGAUUGCAGCAAUAAUGUUCACACACCAGAUGCAAUCAAGGCAUACGCAGAAGCAACAUGCACUAUUGUUCAAGGAUUAUUGCAAUGUUCACCCCUUUCCAUCAGAGGAGAAAUAAAUAAACAUAGAAAUAAACAAAUGAAGCUGGACAUUAUACCUUAUCUACCAUGUACGAACAAUGGGUGAGUAUUUCAACUCUUGUUAUUUACUACCGUAGUUAAUUUAUCGUAUAUACUAAUUUCGACUAACGUAAAACCAUUUCUUGUACAGCCCAAAUUACAUAAUGUUUGCACUCAAAUAUAUAGAAUGCUUCAUUCUAGGGCAUCCAAUAGAAUUAGUUUCAACAGAGAGGAUAUCACUAUACAGACGAAAGAUUGCAGUCGAUCUUUGUCAUAACGAAUACUUUCUUCAUCCUCGAUAGUGAAAAAGUUGUAGUGGCUAGCUGUACUUUGAUUGUGUGACCAUUUAUGAUCAGUCGGUUCAUGAUAGCAUCGUUAUUGGACCUUCGAUGACAGCUGAUCCACCUACACGUUGACUUCGAUCGUUGAGGCCAAAGAAGGCUAGUGCGAACACAAAG